CCCUUCGAUGUUCUGGGCUGCACGCGCGCUACAAUGACAAUGUCAGCGAGUAUUAAUUAUUUCAAUAUAAACAUGGCUUGUGCGAAAGCACUGGCAAAUCUUGUGAAACGUUGUCGUAAUAUGGAUUGCUGAUUGCAAUUAUUCGGCAUGAAACAGGAAUACCUAGUAGGUGUGGUUCAUCAGACUGCGCCGAUUACGUCCCUGCCCUUUGUACACACCGCCCGUCGCUCCUACCGAUUGAAACAUACGGUGAAAAUCUCGGAGAGAGGUGUUCUUAGUGCAAAGUUCGCUUUGUAUUUCCACUUUUCAAAGUUAUUUAAAUCUCAUGUUUUAGAGGAAGGAGAAGUCGUAACA
rnacentral:rRNA from 1 species